UACGUAGGGUGCAAGCGUUAUCCGGAUUCACUGGGUUUAAAGGGUGCGUAGGCGGGCAGGCAAGUCCGUGGUGAAAUCUCUGAGCUUAACUCAGAAACUGCCAUGGAUACUAUUUGUCUUGAAUAUUGUGGAGGUAAGCGGAAUAUGUCAUGUAGCGGUGAAAUGCUUAGAUAUGACAUAGAACACCAAUUGCGAAGGCAGCUUACUACACAGUCAUUGACGCUGAGGCACGAAAGCGUGGGGAUCAAACAGG
rnacentral:rRNA from 1 species